UACGGAGGGUGCAAGCGUUGUCCGGAUUUAUUGGGUUUAAAGGGUGCGUAGGCGGCCCUGUAAGUCAGUGGUGAAAUACUGCAGCUUAACUGUAGCAUUGCCAUUGAUACUGUAGGGCUUGAGUACAGAUGAGGUAGGCGGAAUUGAUGGUGUAGCGGUGAAAUGCAUAGAUACCAUCAAGAACACCGAUGGCGAAGGCAGCCAUCUGGACCGACACUGACGCUGAGGCGCGAAAGCGUGGGGAGCAAACAGG
rnacentral:rRNA from 1 species